CCUACGGGCGGCAGCAGUGGGGAAUAUUGGGCAAUGGGCGCAAGCCUGACCCAGCAACGCCGCGUGAAGGAAGAAGGCUUUCGGGUUGUAAACUUCUUUUCUCAGGGACGAAGAAAGUGACGGUACCUGAGGAAUAAGCCACGGCUAACUACGUGCCAGCAGCCGCGGUAAUACGUAGUUGGCAAGCGUUAUCCGGAUUUACUGGGUGUAAAGGGCGUGUAGGCGGGAAGGCAAGUCAGAUGUGAAAACCAUGGGCUCAACCUGUGGCCUGCAUUUGGAACUGUUUUUCUUGAGUACUGGAGAGGCAGACGGAAUUCCUCGUGUAGCGGUGAAAUGCGUAGAGAUGAGGAGGAACACCAGUGGCGAAGGCGGUCUGCUGGACAGCAACUGACGCUGAGGCGCGAAAGCGUGGGGAGCAAACAGGAUUAGAUACCCGUGUAGUC
rnacentral:rRNA from 1 species